GCAAGGAUCCCAGAGUAAUCACUUUCCUUUAAAAAAAAGUGGUCAUCACAGUUUCCAGAGAGUUAUGUGUUCCGGGAAUUUGAAACUGGUACUUGAUGGACAGAACAUUAUAAAAGAGACAGACAGUGUUGGCAGCGAAUGGUGAACUUCACCAUGAAUUUAGUCUGCAGGCCGUGGGUGACAUGUGCCUCAGGAGAUCUAUGACUGUGGCCCAAUGCAAAAUCAUAAAUUUCAGAUAUCAUGAGAUCUUAAAGUAUAAAUACAUGUGUGGUUCUCAUAUGUAAAGCUGUAGGUGACAACGCCAUGCUGCAGCGUUUAAAGGUUGGACACAGGUGCAUGAGCACUGGGAAGUGCUGAAGGAUGGAUUUAUUUACAUAGGUUUCAGGACAUCAGGAAGGAUCCUCUCAUACAAGGACGAGGAAGUUGAAGUGGUCCGCGCCUUCUUAAUCAACCACCUACAUCAUGGAUCUGCUCCUUUAUACAUGAGGGCAGGUUCCUUACCACCAAAGCUAAAAUGUUUCCUGAAGAGAUGUGGCAAGGAAUAGUCAUUAUUGUGUGAAAAGGGCAGUGACAAAGUAGACCCCAGCAGUGACCGGACAAGAACUCCCACAAGAAGCAACAAGCAAGCUGAGAAUAGAGUUAACAGGCCACUACUGUACAAGACAUAAAUGGCGGUGUUAAAGCAACUUCAACAGGAGG
rnacentral:sRNA from 1 species